CUAAUAAUACAGGGAACUUUUUUCAUAAAAGGGAACAAAAAGCAAACUGUAAUGUGAUAUGACUUGCAAAAACUUAAUAAAAAGCUACUUGCACAAAGCAAUAGAGAGGAGUACACAUACCUGAACAGACAUUAAGGACACAAGUAUGUGUAUGUGUGUGUUUGUGUGUGUGUGUGUGUGUGUGUGUUAUAUGUGUCUAAUUUUACAUAUGGAACAAAAAUAUAUGAAACUACCUGAGUAUAUAGCCAUAACACCAUCAUUACUGUACGCAAAUCUCAGGAACUUGUUUUGCACAGGAAAUUAAAUCAAAAUAAUUACAUUAUCUAAUGCAAGAGUAUAAA